GCCCUGCACCCUCAGUGACAGUUGGUGACUGUUGGUGAAGUGUGCUGACAACAAUGGCGCACAGCUGCAGUGCUGUGCGCUACCUUAUGAAGACUGAAAGUCUUCUGCCGCCUGUUUCUGGACUCUGGACCUCUUCAACUUCGGCAUCUGCAAGGGGGGUCGGCGGCACGGCUCCGGGACGAACCCCAGGGUGAGACCUGUGUUCCGACUCCCUCUGGAGCUAAUGGUGUCCAGUAGCCUAAGAAGCAAAUCCAUCCUGCACGCAGUUACUGGAGAGCAACAAAGAUUGCCGUGCGUUCCAGGGGUCAUGUGAUGAAGAAGACAGACUUUAUUGGAUGUGGAGAACAUGCGUUGGAAUGUGCGUUAACAUAGGAGCAUGUGAGUUUCAUCUGAUAAUUCAGGAGGGUGGAGGAAAAGAUCUUGAAGUAGGCCCAUGUAACAAAGGAAACUCGGAAGAGUAAUUCACUACACUAAUUAAAGCACUGGUGAAGGAUUUAUACAAAGGACACUAGUCUGAUUAUUUGGCACGGUGGUGUUAAUAUUGCGCUACUGUGCUUUUUUAUACAUUUUUGUACGGAGGGUCCAUUGGUAUUUUGCAAGUGGAACG